rnacentral:rRNA from 1 species
AAAUGAAUUGACGGGGACCCGCACAAGCAGCGGAGCAUGUGGUUUAAUUCGAAGCAACGCGAAAAACCUUACCAAGACUUGACAUCCCCUGACGGAUGCGGAAACGCAAACUUCCCUUCGGGGACAGGGAGACAGGUGGUGCAUGGUUGUCGUCAGCUCGUGUCGUGAGAUGUUGGGUUAAGUCCCGCAACGAGCGCAACCCUUAUGAACAGUUGCCAAUAUUAAGUUAGGAACUCUGUUCAGACUGCCGUGGAUAACACGGAGGAAGGUGGGGAUGACGUCAAAUCAUCAUGCCCCUUACGUCUUGGGCUACACACGUGCUACAAUGGCUAUUACAAAGAGCAGCAAGGCGGCAACGUCGAGCAAAUCUCAAAAAGGUAGUCUCAGUUCGGAUUGUGGGCUGCAACCCGCCCACAUGAAGUCGGAGUUGCUAGUAAUCCCGAAUCAGCAUGUCGGGGUGAAUGCGUUCCCGGGUCUUGUACACACCGCCCGU